rnacentral:rRNA from 1 species
AGACUCCUACGGGAGGCAGCAGUGGGUAAUAUUGCACAAUGGGCGCAAGCCUGAUGCAGCAACGCCGCGUGAGGGAUGACGGCCUUCGGGUUGUAAACCUCUUUUAGCAAGGAAGAAGCGAAAGUGACGGUACUUGCAGAAAAAGCGGCGGCUAACUACGUGCCAGCAGCCGCGGUAAUACGUAGGGCGCAAGCGUUAUCCGGAAUUAUUGGGAGUAAAGAGCUCGUAGGCGGUCUGUCGCGUCUGCUGUGAAAACCCGAGGCUCAACCUCGGGCCUGCAGUGGGUACGGGCAGACUAGAGUGCGGUAGGGGAGAUUGGAAUUCCUGGUGUAGCGGUGGAAUGCGCAGAUAUCAGGAGGAACACCGAUGGCAAAGGCAGAUCUCUGGGCCGUAACUGACGCUGAGGAGCGAAAGGGUGGGGAGCAAACAGGCUUAGAUACCCUGGUAGUCCACCCCGUAAACGUUGGGAACUAGAUGUGGGGUCCAUUCCACGGAUUCCGUGACGCAGCUAACGCAUUAAGUUCCCCGCCUGGGGAGUACGGCCGCAAGGCUAAAACUCAAAGGAAUUGACGGGGACCCGCACAAGCGGCGGAGCAUGCGGAUUAAUUCGAUGCAACGCGAAGAACCUUACCAAGGCUUGACAUACACGAGAACGCUGCAGAAAUGUAGAACUCUUUGGACACUCGUGAACAGGUGGUGCAUGGUUGUCGUCAGCUCGUGUCGUGAAAUGUUGGGUUAAGUCCCGCAACGAGCGCAACCCUCGUUCUAUGUUGCCAGCACGUAAUGGUGGGAACUCAUGGGAUACUGCCGGGGUCAACUCAGAGGAAGGUGGGGAUGACGUCAAAUCAUCAUGCCCCUUAUGUCUUGGGCUUCACGCAUGCUACAUGGCCCGGUACAAGG